GACGAACGCUGGCGGCGUGCUUAACACAUGCAAGUCGAGCGCUGAAGGUUGGUACUUGUACCGAGUGGAUGAGCAGCGAACGGGUGAGUAACGCGUGGGGAAUCUGCCUUUGAGCGGGGGUCAGCAUUUGGGAACGAAUGCUAAUACCGCAUAAAAACUUUAAACACAAGUUUUAAGUUUGUAAGAUGCAAUUGCAUCACUCAAAGAUGAUCCCGCGUUGUAUUAGCUAGUUGGUGAGGUAAAGGCUCACCAAGGCGAUGAGACAUAGCCGACCUGAGAGGGGGAUAGGCCGCAUUGGGACGGGAACACGGACCAAGAUACUGCGAGAGGGAGCAGAAGGGAAUCUUCGGCAGUGGACGAAAGGCUGACCGAGCAACGCCGCGGGAGAGAAGGAGGUUGUCGGAUCGUGAAAAUGUGUUGGUAGAUAAGAACGUCGGUGAGAGUGGAAAGCGCAUAAAGUGACGGUAACUACACAGAAAGCAACGGCUAACUACGUG
rnacentral:rRNA from 1 species